rnacentral:rRNA from 1 species
GACGAACGCUGGCGGCGUGCCUAACACAUGCAAGUCGAACGGUGAAGCGCCUUCCUUUUUGGUGGGUGUGGAUGAGUGGCGAACUGGUGAGUAACACGUGAGUACCUGCCCCCUUCUUCUGGAUAACCGCAUGAAAGUGUGUCUAAUACGUGAUAUUCUGGGUCUGUCGCAUUCUGGGUCUGGGAAGGAUUUUGUUUCGGCUGGGGAUGGGCUCGCGGCCUAUCAGCUUGUUGGUGGGGUGAUGGCCUACCAAGGCGGUGACGGGUAGCCGGCCGGAGAGGGUGAGGGGUCACACGAGGGCGGAGACGCGGCGCAGACUACGGGGGGGAGCAGCGGGGGAGAAUAGUGCACGGGGGGAAGACGGGUGAUGCAGCGACGCCGCGGGAGAGAUGGAGGCCUGCGUGUUGAGAACCUCUUUCGCGAGUGAAGCAGGCCUGCAUCGUAUGUGGGUGGGUUGACGGUAGCUGGAGAAGAAGCGCCGGCUAACUACGUG